AAUAAAAUAAGCUAAAAAAGCUACUGGGUUCAUACCCCAUUUAUGAAUUUAAUUUCUUUUAUUA
rnacentral:tRNA from 1 species